AAGAAAUCUCAAAUUGUGCUAGAAUACUUAUCUCCCAGCUAGUGAGAAUCUUAAUCAGCCUCUGGGAUGACAGGGUUCUUUCCUCUCAUGUUCUUGUGUCCCUCUGUGUUUCUUUCCUGCCUCAGUAGGAAUAUUUAGAGUUAAGAGAAAGAAAACGAGGUCAAAGUGCUAGUGAGGAACUGAGCAUGAGAGAGGCUGUAUGUAGCGCCCAGUCCUAGAACCAGUAAGAACACUCUGUUCACCCCAGAGUUGAGACGGAAGCUCAUUGAACAGGGGCCUUGGUACACAUGAGGGCUUUGUGGCUUUUGUGAGACCCACAGUAGGUCAUGAUGUUGACAAGGUAGGAGAGCCCCUGGAGGACCUGAGUGACUUAUCCUGCAUGUGAAGUGGGUUAGUAAAAUGCUAAAGCUGUCAGACGGGAGAAAAAGAAAAGAGAUAGAAGGCCCUGCUUGACUUGGCUGUCCUGAGAGGUUCUACCCUGCAGCUGACUGAGACAGAUGCAGAUACCCAUAGACAAACAUUGGACAGAGGUCGGGGACCCCUGUGGAAGAGUUAGGGGAUUGAAGGCUCUGAAGGAGAUGGCAACCCCACAGGAAGACCAAAAGUGUCAACUAACUUGCACCCCUAGAAGCCCCCAGAGUCCGAGCUACCAACCUAAGAGCCAACUCAGGCUGGUUCAGCACAUAGCAGAGGGUUGUCUUAUCAGGUCAGUGGGAGAGGAUGUGCCUAAUCCUGCAGAGACUUAAUGCAUCAGGGUGGGAGGAUACGGGGCCUCUCAAAGGUAAAAGGGAGGGGGCUGACAUGGGGAGGAAUCCUGGAAGGGGAGCCGGGGUGAGCAGCAUAUGGGAGGUAACUACAUAAAUAUAUU
rnacentral:lncRNA from 1 species